rfam:Proteobacteria bacterium Nonnen-W8red strain MWH-Nonnen-W8red genome.
AAGAGCCGUAUGAAUCGAGAGAUUCACGUACGGUUCUGAGAGAAACUAGGGGUGCAAUUCCCCUGGUUUACUCACC